AUUGAACGCUGGCGGCAGGCCUAACACAUGCAAGUCGAACGAGUGGCGGAAGGGUGAGUAAUGUCUGGGAAACUGCCCGAUGGAGGGGGAUAAGUACUGGAAACGGUAGCUAAUACAGCAUACCAGAGGAGGUGCGCAGAUGGGAUUAGAUAGUAGGUGAGGUAACGGCUCACCUAGACGACGAUCCCUAGCUGGUCUGAGAGGAUGACCAGCCCCACUGGAACUGAGACACGGUCCAGACGCCGACGGGAGGCAGCAGUGGGGAAUAUUGCACAAUGGGCGCAAGCCUGAUGCAGCCAUGCCGCGUGUAUGAAGAAGGCCUUCGGGUUGUAAAGUACUUUCAGCGGGGAGGCGUUACCCGCAGAAGAAGCACCGGCUAACUCCGUGCCAGCAGCCGCGGUAAUAC
rnacentral:rRNA from 1 species